CAUAGGGACGAAGCGCAAGUGACGGUACCUAUAGAAGAAGGACCGGCCAACUACGUGCCAGCAGCCGCGGUAAUACGUAGGGUCCGAGCGUUGUCCGGAAUUACUGGGCGUAAAGAGCUCGUAGGUGGUGUGUCGCGUCGUCCGUGAAAACUCACAGCUUAACUGUGGGCGUGCGGGCGAUACGGGCAGACUUGAGUACUGCAGGGGAGACUGGAAUUCCUGGUGUAGCGGUGGAAUGCGCAGAUAUCAGGAGGAACACCGGUGGCGAAGGCGGGUCUCUGGGCAGUAACUGACGCUGAGGAGCGAAAGCGUGGGGAGCGAACAGGAUUAGAUACCCUGGUAGUCCACGCCGUAAACGGUGGGUACUAGGUGUGGGUUUCCUUCCUUGGGAUCCGUGCCGUAGCUAACGCAUUAAGUACCCCGCCUGGGGAGUACGGCCGCAAGGCUAAAACUCAAAGAAAUUGACGGGGGCCCGCACAAGCGGCGGAGCAUGUGGAUUAAUUCGAUGCAACGCGAAGAACCUUACCUGGGUUUGACAUGCACAGGACGACUGCAGAGAUGUGGUUUCCCUUGUGGCCUGUGUGCAGGUGGUGCAUGGCUGUCGUCAGCUCGUGUCGUGA
rnacentral:rRNA from 1 species